UGCUUUGAUUGCUCACGUUUUAAAUUAUUCGAGGUAACACUUCACAUUUGCUUAUAAGCAAAGACAUGUUGGUUAGCGAUCAUUACUUUCUAGUGCUGAUAUAAUAUUUGGUUCAAUACCAUACCCCAGCUACUGGUUUUCAGCUAAAAUCUAGAAAGUAAAUCGUUCAACAAAACAUAAGUUUUACUUCUGAAUAUCUUUAGUGUAAGUUUAGUAUACUCGUACUUCAUCGCCACCUAAUUUGCCAGAAUUCACACCAGUAAAGAUGUCGGACUGCGAGAGUGACAUCGUUCCCUUCAACAAUGAACGUAAAAUAGAAAGUUCCCAUAAACGGACAACAUCGACAGGCAAACGCAAGACACCCACAAAAUCUGCUAUUAUAAG